rnacentral:rRNA from 1 species
UACGUAGGUGGCGAGCGUUGUCCGGAUUUAUUGGGCGUAAAGCGCGCGCAGGCGGUUCGGUAAGUCUGUCGUGAAAUCUCCCGGCUCAACUGGGAGGGUGCGGUGGAGACUGCCGGACUGGAGGCACUCAGAGGCCGGUGGAAUUCCCGGUGUAGUGGUGAAAUGCGUAGAGAUCGGGAGGAACACCAGUGGCGAAGGCGGCCGGCUGGGGGUGACCUGACGCUGAGGCGCGAAAGCGUGGGGAGCGAACCGG